rnacentral:lncRNA from 1 species
GUUUGGUUAGGGUUUGGUUAGGACUUGGUUUAGGAUUUGAUUUAGGGUUUGGAUUAGGAUUUGAUUUAGGAUUAGGAUUUAGGAUUUGGUUUAGGAUUUGGUUAUAAUUUGGUUUAGAAUUUGGUUGGGAUUUGGUUUAAGGUUUGUUUGGGGUUUGAUUUAGGGUUUAGGAUUUCAUUAGGAUUUAAGAUUUAAUUAGUUUUGGCCUAAAGUUUGAAUGAAGUUCAAUAGGAUUUUAACUAGAAUUAAAUUAAGAUUGAAUUGAGAUGUAUUUGAGUGACAUUUGUAUUCUUUCUAAUGUUUCUUUAAAAAUUCCUAUUGUUUGUUUGAAAUUUCUUUGAGGUUUUUUUUAAAUUUGAUUAAGCUUGCUUAGCAUUAUUAUAGUGUAAUUAGAGUAUUGUUAGUAUUCUAUUAGAAUUAGGAUUUUGUUAUUGCAAUUUCCAUUCUUCCUUCCACA